AUACGGAGGGUGCAAGCGUUGUUCGGAAUCACUGGGCGUAAAGGGCGUGCAGGCGGUUUGGUAAGUCAGAUGUGAAAGCCCAUGGCUCAACCAUGGAAGUGCAUUUGAAACUGUCAGACUUGAGUACUAGAGGGGAAAGUGGAAUUCCCGGUGUAGAGGUGAAAUUCGUAGAUAUCGGGAGGAAUACCGGUGGCGAAGGCGACUUUCUGGCUAGAUACUGACGCUGAGGCGCGAAAGCGUGGGGAGCAAACAGGAUUAGAAACCCCAGUAGUCC
rnacentral:rRNA from 1 species